rnacentral:rRNA from 1 species
AUUAAGUUUAAUUUAAUAUAGGAUCUGCUCAAUGAUUUUUUAAAUAGCUGCAGUAUUUUGACUGUGCAAAGGUAGCAUAAUAAUUAGUCUUUUAAUUGAGGACUUGUAUGAAAGAUUUGAUGAGAAAUAAACUUUAUUAUUUAUAUAAUUAAAAUUUUAUUUUUAAGUAAAAAAGCUUAAAUUAUUUAAAGGGACGAUAAGACCCUAUAAAACUUUAUAAAUUUUAAUUUUAAUUUUUUUGGUUUAUAAAUAUUUUAAUUUUAUAAUUUAUUUUAUUGGGGUGAUAAAAAAAAUUAUUAAACUUUUUUUAAAAUUUUACAUUAGUUAAUGGAUAUUUGAAUUAAAAUUUUUAAUUAAAGGAAAAAGUUACUUUAGGGAUAACAGCGUAAUUAAUUUUUUAAGUUCAAAUUUAAAAAUUAGUUUUCGACCUCGAUGUUGAAUUAAGAUUAAUCUUAGGUGCAAAAUUUUAAGUAUUAGGUCUGUUCGACCUUUAAAUUCUUACGUGA